rnacentral:lncRNA from 1 species
AAUACGCCAACUCUCGUUACCUGGUAACUGUCCGUGAUCUUAUCCUGAGUUGGGUAGUUAUCAAUGGAUCAUCCCGGGAACCGGACUACGCGGUAUAUCUAACUACCGUACUGUCUAUAUAGUAAUGUCACGUCCAUUAUACUAUAUUACACAACACUCCUCCCCACUUUGAAAGGAGUGAGUUUACUUCCUAUUUGAAUUUUCACUAUAUUCCUUUAGUCCACCCCGUCUGGUUGCACCACGGGGAUAAAAGAAA